rnacentral:rRNA from 1 species
GACGAACGCUGGCGGCGUGCUUAACACAUGCAAGUCGAACGGACAGGCCCUGAUUUUGUGGGGUGCUCGAGUGGCGAACGGGUGAGUAAAACGUGAGUAACCUGCACUUGUCUUUGGGAUAAAUUCAGGAAAAUGGGGCUAAUACCGGAUAGGAGAUACUGAUGCAUGGUGGGGGUUGGAAAGAUUCGGCGGUUGGGGAUGGACUCGCGGCUUAUCAGCUUGUUGGUGGGGUAGUGGCUUACCAAGGCUUUGACGGGUAGCCGGCCUGAGAGGGUGACCGGCCACAUUGGGACUGAGAGACGGCCCAGACGCCUACGGGAGGCAGAAGUGGGGAAUAUUGCACAAUGGGCGGAAGCCUGAUGCAGCAACGCCGCGUGCGGGAUGACGGCCUUCGGGUUGUAAACCGCUUUCGCCUGUGACGAAGCGUUAGUGACGGUAAUGGGUAAAGAAGCACCGGCUAACUACGUG